CUCAACAAUAUGAAUUCUAAGGAUGGUAUAACUUAUAAAUGGAGUAAUGGUUGGCCUGUAAUGUACACUCAUUGGAAUUCAGAUUAUUUGCCAAGUAAGCCUUGUAUAGCUGUCGGAGAAGAUUUUUGGACAGAUAAAGAUUGUGAUACCAAACUUCCAGCUUUAUGUCAGAUCAAUAAAAAAUCACUACCAAAAGAAGCAGAUCAGUUCACUUGCCAGAAAGGUGGUUAUGUAUUUGGUGACAAAUGCUAUUAUCCAAUUCUACAUAAUCCAUUGACAUGGAUCAAAGCAA